rnacentral:rRNA from 1 species
GCGAACGGGUGAGUAACACGUGAGUAACCUGCCCUUGACUCUGGGAUAAGCCUGGGAAACUGGGUCUAAUACCGGAUAUGACCAUCUGACGCAUGUCAUGGUGGUGGAAAGCUUUUGUGGUUUUGGAUGGACUCGCGGCCUAUCAGCUUGUUGGUGGGGUAAUGGCCUACCAAGGCGACGACGGGUAGCCGGCCUGAGAGGGUGACCGGCCACACUGGGACUGAGACACGGCCCAGACUCCUACGGGAGGCAGCAGUGGGGAAUAUUGCACAAUGGGCGGAAGCCUGAUGCAGCGACGCCGCGUGAGGGAUGACGGCCUUCGGGUUGUAAACCUCUUUCAGUAGGGAAGAAGCGAAAGUGACGGUACCUGCAGAAGAAGCGCCGGCUAACUACGUGCCAGCAGCCGCGGUAAUACGUAGGGCGCAAGCGUUAUCCGGAAUUAUUGGGCGUAAAGAGCUCGUAGGCGGUUUGUCGCGUCUGCUGUGAAAGACCGGGGCUCAACUCCGGUUCUGCAGUGGGUACGGGCAGACUAGAGUGCAGUAGGGGAGACUGGAAUUCCUGGUGUAGCGGUGAAAUGCGCAGAUAUCAGGAGGAACACCGAUGGCGAAGGCAGGUCUCUGGGCUGUAACUGACGCUGAGGAGCGAAAGCAUGGGGAGCGAACAGGAUUAGAUACCCUGGUAGUCCAUGCCGUAAACGUUGGGCACUAGGUGUGGGGGACAUUCCACGUUUUCCGCGCCGUAGCUAACGCAUUAAGUGCCCCGCCUGGGGAGUACGGCCGCAAGGCUAAAACUCAAAGGAAUUGACGGGGGCCCGCACAAGCGGCGGAGCAUGCGGAUUAAUUCGAUGCAACGCGAAGAACCUUACCAAGGCUUGACAUGAACCGGAAAGACCUGGAAACAGGUGCCCCGCUUGCGGUCGGUUUACAGGUGGUGCAUGGUUGUCGUCAGCUCGUGUCGUGAGAUGUUGGGUUAAGUCCCGCAACGAGCGCAACCCUCGUUCUAUGUUGCCAGCGCGUUAUGGCGGGGACUCAUAGGAGACUGCCGGGGUCAACUCGGAGGAAGGUGGGGACGACGUCAAAUCAUCAUGCCCCUUAUGUCUUGGGCUUCACGCAUGCUACAAUGGCCGGUACAAAGGGUUGCGAUACUGUGAGGUGGAGCUAAUCCCAAAAAGCCGGUCUCAGUUCGGAUUGGGGUCUGCAACUCGACCCCAUGAAGUCGGAGUCGCUAGUAAUCGCAGAUCAGCAACGCUGCGGUGAAUACGUUCCCGGC